CUUAAAAAAAAAAAAAAGAAAUCUCUCACCGGGUUGAACGUGAUUCGAUACAAUCAAACCUCUCCAACUAAACCAAUAGUCUCGUGUGUGCUUAUCAUCAGUUGCAAUAGCAUACUAAGCUUGUAAGCUGUGCAUCUCUUCUCUGUUCCUUCCCGAGUCCCGCUACCGCAAUUUCCGAUUCUUUUCCCUUCAGUUUCUCAAAUCGCGUCAUUGAUCCACGAUUUCCAGAUAAUCUUUUGAUGCAUCCAGAUCCCCAUUUUGUCGCUAGACAUUCAUGAAUGAAAAGUAUUGUUUUGUACAUCCCUUUUCAGGGGACUGAAGCAGCAUUGGCAUCACACUGGCCGGAAUGAAGUUCCAUGAAAUUGAUGAAAACAUAGAUUACACGGCAAAAACCAAAUUCGUAGUUUCACCUUAACAAUAUCACAUGUCAGCCAAUAUAUAUACUGAUCUUUUGUUUUUUAUAUCUUGAUUUUUCAUUUAAUAGGUUUGCCCCGCCUUGCGUUCAGAUUGGAUGCUGGCAAAUGAAACAAAUCAAUUUGAGAGCAGAAUAACUAAGCUUGUUGUACUGAGGAAUUCUACAUUGUGCCUACAAAUUUUAGGAGAUAAUAUCUUUUUCAACAAGGAGAAGCAUAUAGGUUAUAUCAAAUCUAUAGAUGCUGCUGCUGUGAGUAGCAUCACUAACCUUAUAGCUUAUAUCUGUUGGUUCUAAACUCUAGUCAGCACAUCCCAGCCACCUGUUUUUUGGUCAGAUUGUUAAGUUUAAACCUCAUAAAACAUCUUCCUAACCUGAGUUUUUGCACUAAAAAUGUGCGGCUGACUCAUUUUUAACAAUGGCCUCAUUCUUAAGUUUCAAGUAAUAAUUAUCAACAUUUGCUGUACAACAUUCGGUUGAGGACCACAUUUUUUUCUUUUUAGCUAUAUAUUAAAGACUAAAAAAAGAAAACAGGUAGGUUAGUGGCCUUCCUGGUUCUAAUUUUAUGUGCUUGUGAUUGUGACAUUAAUUCCUACUUAUUUAUGAUUGUGAAUGGGAAAUGACUUGUUUAAAGAAGAAUGCGGCUUACCAGCUUGCAAGUAAUUAACAAUAGUUUUCGACUCUUUUCCUCCUCAUGAAGGGCCCAUAUAAGAUACUUUCACAAUGUCAUAUAUCAAUUUGUUUGUUUACAGAAAAGAAAUUAUCCUUGUUAUUUAGUUUUUUUUUUCUUUUUGAGGGAAACAAUAUCCUUAUUAUUUAUUACGUAUUGGCUUUUGAAUUGCAGCUCCUGUUUUGCGUGUUAGUCUUCUCUGACUUCUUUUUAGGUUACUAGAAAUGGAAAUUAUGGAUCUAGUCCCGUCCAACACAUUCAUUUAUUUCAAGGAGAAAAAUUAUGCAUCAGGAGACACAUUUUUAUUGAUUUAAUGAACUCUAUCAUAAUCCUAUUGAGGUCAACAGGGGAAAAUUCUGCAUUCUUUAGUUCUCUAUAUAUUAGAUGCAAUCUUUACUACUAAUGCAAGCUGUUUUAUAUCUUCUUUUUUUUUUUGUUCAGAUUAAUCUUUGUAUCUUUUUGGAUCACAACGUUAGUAUGAUUUCCAUGAUUAAUCACAUAGAUGUUUAAUAGUGUUUGAACAUGUGAUACUUUUAAGUUCCAUAUCAUGUCUUUUAUAUAGGCACAAGAUUGCUGGAUCAGUGUACAUUGCACAAUUAUUAGUUGUGUGAAAAUCUAUUGUUUUGCUGCUACACUUGCUAAGAGAAAUAAUUUGGUUCAGAUCUAUGAGUGCAAUGUUAAGUUUAUUGAGAAAUCUAGCAUCACGUAUGUAGUUGAUAGUUGAUGAGGGAAACGACCUAAUUUUUGUUUGGAUCAAUAAUGUCUUUUAUGUUGAAUAACCCAACGAAACUAACAAAUGCACCCCACUUAUAUGCCCUUCAAACUCCCAGGCUCUUAUCUUUUUUUUAUUUUUUUAAUUAAUUCCAGGCUUUUGCUUUUAUGCCCCUGCAAAAUCAGCUAUCAACAUGUAUGCUAUAUGAUAUUUUAGUUGCUCACAAAAGUACUCUUUAUGUAACUCAUACAGUUUAUAGUUGGUUGUGAAUCGUGAAGUGCCAUUUUUGCACGAAAUGAAGUAUAUGCAUGAAACUGAGUUUUUAUAUAUGAACAUUUAUAUCUUUUAGGGGUAUUUAAUGUGAAGAGAUUAAGUGGUGGGCAUAUGUUUUGUAAAUAUACUACUACUAUAUAUUAUUUAAAUUUUUCCUAGUUGGCUGGAAGCAGACCAUUGGAAAGUUUGGAUGGUAAACAAGUUUACAUGUUAUCUGUUAGGAUUUGGUUAAAUUUGUAAUUGAAUCCUAAUUGGAUUAAGAUUAAUAUUUAAAUCUGUUGGAGAUAAAUUAAGAUUUAAAUAUUAAUUAGAGUAGAAGUCUAAUUGGAUUAGGAUUUGGGUAGCUUUUGAUAUAAGUUAUAAAUAUAUCAUAAGUGCUAUUAUCGUGGUGGUGGUGGUACAGAUUAGCCACACCCAUAUAGCAUGGCGAAGGUGAUCAUGAUUUUGAAUGCACCUAAUGCAUGGGUGCAAGAGGACGUGAAUGGCUUUUGUAGCCAUGGGUCAUUGGUAUAUCUUGUGCUCGGGUGCACAGGAUGAGAGAGAUGUCUUUUGAGACUAUAGAAGACAAGAGAAGGGUAGGAGAGAUUCAAAACGAGGGCUCAGGAUUGUAGCUAUUCUGUUAUAGAAGAGGAAUCGGAUGUAAUCUUCUCUUAUUUAAUGAAUCUUAUUUUACCUGCAUA